rnacentral:rRNA from 1 species
UACGUAGGGCGCAAGCGUUGUCCGGAAUUAUUGGGCGUAAAGAGCUCGUAGGCGGCUUGUCGCGUCGGUUGUGAAAGCCCGGGGCUUAACCCCGGGUCUGCAGUCGAUACGGGCAGGCUAGAGUUCGGUAGGGGAGAGUCGGAAUUCCUGGUGUAGCGGUGAAAUGCGCAGAUAUCAGGAAGAACACCUAUGGCGAAGGCAGCUCUCUGGGACGGUACUGAGCUGAGACGCGAAAGCAUGGGGAGCGAACAGG